rnacentral:rRNA from 1 species
GGGGAAUUUUGGACAAUGGGCGCAAGCCUGAUCCAGCCAUGCCGCGUGCGGGAAUAAGGCCUUCGGGUUGUAAACCGCUUUUGUCAGGGAAGAAAUCCUUUGAGCUAAUACCUCGUGGGAUGACGGUACCUGAAGAAUAAGCACCGGCUAACUACGUGCCAGCAUCCGCGGUAAUACGUAGGGUGCAAGCUUUAAUCGGAAUUACUGGGCGUAAUGCGUGCGCAGGCGGUUAUGCAAGACAGAGGUGAAAUCCCCGGGCUCAACCUGGGAACUGCCUUUGUGACUGAAUAGCUAGAGUACGGUAGAGGGGGAUGGAAUUCCGCGUGUAGCAGUGAAAUGCGUAGAUAUGCGGAGGAACACCGAUGGCGAAGGCAAUCCACUGGACCUGUACUGACGCUCAUGCACGAAAGCGUGGGGAGAAAA